AUUGAACGCUGGCGGCAUGCCUUACACAUGCAAGUCGAACGGUAACAGGUCUUCGGAUGCUGACGAGUGGCGAACGGGUGAGUAAUACAUCGGAACGUGCCCAGUAAUGGGGGAUAGCCCGGCGAAAGCCGGAUUAAUACCGCAUACGCCCUGAGGGGGAAAGUGGGGGACCGCAAGGCACGCAGUUAUUGGAGCGGCAGAUGGCUGAUUAGCUAGUUGGUAGGGUAAAGGCCUACCAAGGCGACGAUCAGUAGCUGGUCUGAGAGGACGAUCAGCCACACUGGGACUGAGACACGGCCCAGACUCCUACGGGAGGCAGCAGUGGGGAAUUUUGGACAAUGGGGGAAACCCUGAUCCAGCAAUGCCGCGUGUGCGAAGAAGGCCUUCGGGUUGUAAAGCACUUUUGUCAGGGAAGAAAUCCUUUGGGCUAAUACCCUAGGGGGAUGACGGUACCUGAAGAAUAAGCACCGGCUAACUACGUGCCAGCAGCCGCCGCGGUAA
rnacentral:rRNA from 1 species